rnacentral:SRP_RNA from 14 species
GCAAGGCUGGCAGGUGCAUGUUGGGCACGUUGUGGACAGCUUCAGGCUGACGAAUCGCAAUUGUCGCCGCAACAGAGCAGUGAUACCCGCUGCCGUCGAUAG